rnacentral:lncRNA from 1 species
UGCCGCCUGCUGAGGUACCACCUGUAUCCACUAAAGAUGCAGUAUCCCCAGCAAUGAGACAUUAGUACAUAUGGAAUAAUACUAGUAUGAAAGGCUAAAUACCCUCACAUGAAAUGAAAUGUCAACAUAAGGAGAGAAAGCACGGAAGAAGGAGUAAAUCAAUAGAAAUAUACGACAAGAAGUUAUAACAUAAGAAGUGAAUGUAAAUGAGUACAACUUUUCAAAUAAACAUUAUCACUUUAGUUGGGAGAUCAUUAGUUACCGACAUAGGAAUGUAUAACUACAGUCGCACCCCCAUGCAUGGUCACCCAAACUACAGUCACACCCACAUGCAUGUGUUAUUGAAGGUCACAUAGUUACCGACAUAGGAACAUUAUCACUUUAGUUGGGAGAACAGUCGCAUAGAUUUAGUUGGGAGAAGGUAUUGUGUUAGAUCUCGACCUGAUCGGUUAAGCCAUCUCACCAUAAUGCCAUGUGAAUCGAUGUAAAUUUUCUAGAAAUACAUUCAUCCCAAUUAAGGGUCAUAAUCGCAUCAUAGUGUGAAGGGACUCAUUCCCAAUCGUCUUCCUCCACGACAUGUGUAGUUUCAUGUAUAGGUCCUUGCAACCUAUACCUUCUCGGUUACAUAAUAAUAUUCCCAAAAAUAUUUCUUUAUAGCAUUUCAUGAAACCUUUCUUUUUAUUAACACUUUUCGACAUACAUCAUCAUUAUCAUUCUGGGCACAAAUGGCCACAUAUCAUCUUCAUUCUUUCAUUUCAUUCAUGUGUCAUGGGUAAUCAAAAGUCAGAAAAAUGUAUUUAAAAUAUUGAAAAGCCAUGGCUACAAACACAUAAGUAUAUGAAAGCUUAAACACUUGAAAUGAAUUUCAAAGAAGAGAGCAUAACGAUGGAAAAUAUAACAUGAAUCGAGUUCAUAGGCAUUCAGUUAUACAAUCAUUUGAAGCAAUUUAGAACAAAGGAAAAAGGGAACUUGAAUGAAACAAACUUGGAGUUUAUAAGGAGUUCAUGAAAUCAAAUUCUAUAGGAAGGGUUUAGCCAAACAUACCUUAAUCAAACUUCCUUAGGGUUCCUACUAUGUUGCUCCACUCGUUAUACUUCAAUCUACAUCAAAAAAUUAAUUUGACCAACAUUAGAGGAUUUCUAUGUGUAAGUCAUUUAAAUAUUUUGUCAAAUACGUAGGGGGAAUAGCCCUUUACCAUCUUAGUAAUUGUGCUUUCUCAUCCUUCACACCUCUUCCAUGACCAAUUCACACCCAUAGUUACCCUUGGUUACUAUGUGACCUUCAACAACACAUGCAUGGUCACCCAAACUACACCCAACCAAUAACUACAUCAAAAAAUACCUUCUC